rnacentral:lncRNA from 10 species
CACCGCAAGGACUGGAGAAGGGUAAACCUCAGGUUCUCCUCCUGCCUUUUGCUAAGUAUAUGUCUUGAUGACAAGCCUUCUGCUGAUGAGCUGUGUUUCUGGACCGAUCAUGGUAGAAGUCAAUUAACGUGUCCCUCACUUGGGGUUUCUCAAGGGCUGGAGUGCAAUCACACAAUCAUGGCUCAUUGCAGCCUCAAACUCUUGGGCUCAAGCAAUCCUCGCUCUUCAGCCUCUAAGCAGCUGGGACUAUAAGCAUGCACCACCACGCCUGGCUAAGUUGUUUUAUUAUUUUUGUACAGACAAGGUCUUAUUAUGUUGCCCAGACUAGUCUCCAACUCCUGGCCUCAAGUGAUCUCCCUGUCUCAGCCUCCCAAAGUGCUGGGAUUAAAGCUGCACUGAUGAGGAAACUGAAACAGAAAAUCCAGAGUAAAUUCCACCAGGCCACACAGCAAGGUCUGAUAGAGCCAGGAGAGACUUUAUGAAAUCCAGACUCUCACACUAAUGCUCUAUCAGCUAGACCUCCAUGUGAGUCUCCCCAAUGUAGGUAGGAAGUGCUUUCCCUAAAAUGCUCAUAAAGCAAAUCAGAGCAAUGCUGCAUUCCAUGUGAUUUCUAAUUUGAAAUGCAAACAAUUGCCAAUUUGUUUGACUUGUAUUUAUAAUUAUUUCCUUGUGAAUUACUCAUCACUAAAUGCUUUAUAAAUAUUUUCUCUUUUUUUCCUCAAUGUCUAUGGAAUGAUCACAGCAUAGAAAAUGUUGGCUUUCAAGGAUUUAUUAAUAUCUCCUUUUGAAAUAACAUGUAUUUGUAAGACAGAAUAAAAUCACUUUAAAGAAACAAAUC